UACGUAGGGCGCAAGCGUUGUCCGGAAUUAUUGGGCGUAAAGAGCUCGUAGGCGGUCUGUCACGUCUGCCGUGAAAACCCGAGGCUUAACCUCGUGGCUUGCGGUGGAUACGGGCAGACUAGAGGUAGGUAGGGGAGAAUGGAAUUCCCGGUGUAGCGGUGGAAUGCGCAGAUAUCGGGAGGAACACCGGUGGCGAAGGCGGUUCUCUGGGCCUUACCUGACGCUGAGGAGCGAAAGCGUGGGGAGCGAACAGG
rnacentral:rRNA from 1 species